UACGAAGGGGGCUAGCGUUGUUCGGAAUCACUGGGCGUAAAGCGCACGUAGGCGGAUUGUUAAGUCAGGGGUGAAAUCCUGGAGCUCAACUCCAGAACUGCCUUUGAUACUGGCGAUCUCGAGUCCGGGAGAGGUGAGUGGAACUGCGAGUGUAGAGGUGAAAUUCGUAGAUAUUCGCAAGAACACCAGUGGCGAAGGCGGCUCACUGGCCCGGUACUGACGCUGAGACGCGAAAGCCAGGGGAGCGAACGGG
rnacentral:rRNA from 1 species